AGUAUCAAAAGACCAAACAAACAAAAACAUGAAUGAUGAAUGGGCGGUGGGCGAAGUGGAUGUAUGUGCAAGAAUGGUUUACAGGAAGGACACAUGGAGAUAAAACCGGUAGAGGUGCCAGAGGAAGAGCGGCAGGAGGAAAAACAACCAAGAACCCGGCCAAAGGUGAUCGCCAAGGCCGAAAGACAGGAUGGAAGACAACAGCCCCCGCACACACCGAAUCCCCCAUAAUCAGCACCCCCCCCAUGGAACCAGGUCUCACCGAACCAGCACCCACUCCCAUGAAAUCAAAAUCUGAAUGUUGCCUUUUUUCUGAAUGGAGACUGUGCUCUUGAGCAUGGUCGCACGAAAGGCCCAGCGCUGUAUUGUACUUUCCUGAAAACAGAGCUUUCUUAAGAAGAAUUGAACUCACGCUAAUUUCUGCUUCAGUGUCUUAGCAUUUUCCUAAAUCUGAAGAAAUCAAACGAGCACGCAGUGAGUAAAUCGGAUAACGGGAUGGGCAAUGGCUUUUGCCGUGAGGCGCAGAUAGCGCCCUCCCUAAAUUGUGGACCAAAUCCAACACUUGCAAUAUUUCAGUUGAUUUGUAAUGAAUCCAGAUUGUAUGACAUUUUUGUUUUUUUUAAUUACAUUACAGAAAAUAAAGAACUUUAUCACAAUAUUAUAAUUUUCUGAGACAGUCCUAUAUGUAUGAAUAAAUUACUAUCCUGUGAGAUGGAUUAGACAAAUAUUUUAUGGUGGACAUUUUAUUAUCUAAAACAGACAAUUAAAAAAGUACCAACUUCAA